AGAAAAGUAAGCUAAAUUAAGCUAAUGGGUUCAUACCCCAUCUAUAGAGAAAACUCUCUUUUCUA
rnacentral:tRNA from 1 species